rnacentral:lncRNA from 1 species
AGGAAAAGUUACCUUUUGAUGGAUUGUCUCUAAUAAUAAGCUUUUGAUUUCCGGCAUAAUUUCACCCUGUGGAACGCUGGGAAAAUACCAAUUGAUGAAAACGAACCGGCAUUUCAAGUCUAGUUACAAACCAGAUUGUCCACUUUAACUGGCUUUGGAGUCUUACAAACCUGACGACUGCGUCCUUUUAACGCAACGGAUAGUACAUCGAGGCAAUGACGUUUCCUUUUAACGCAACGGAUAGUACAUCGAGGCAAUGACGUUGUUGGAGUAUUAAAAGAUUGAUCCUUCUUCAAACGACAAAAGAUAGCCUACGAGAAAAUACAAACACGUCUGUUGUUUUCUUAUUUGGCUGACGGUGAUGGACUUCAGCUCAUCCACCUUUACACGACAUCAAAGGAACAGUUCAAUGUCAUGACAUCAAUAGCGAUUCUUAUUGACUUUUCUUGUUGCCAUGUGGAAUCUUCAACAACAAACAAAGGAAAAACUUGGCCAGAAAAGCCAUUUGGAAAAGAAAGAAAGGAGUUGUUUCAUCGGAUAGUUUUACAAGAAUGGCGUGCACUUCAGUUGGAAGUAUAGAAAUUGAUAAAAUAAUCCUUUUAUUUAAAUUUUCUAUUUUUCUUACAUGCGUGUUCUAUUUGCGUGAGGACGUGAGAUAACAUCCUUGACUGGGUAGUUCUCAUGGAGUUUUAGUCGGUUUUUCCCAAACAGCCGAUAUCGCUAGUAAAACCGCGAUAGACUAAAAAACAUGUGUGUUCCAUACUAGACGAAAAGGGGAUAGCAAGUUAUGUUCCUUAUACGGUAGCAAAACAAUGCUCACCUUGACAAAAUAGGGCUAACCUUGAAGAACACAACAACAGACGAGCGUAACUACAAUUUCUUGGAACUCAUUCUAAAUGCCAUUGUGAAACAGCGUGCAGUUCUACAACCACUAAAUUUGUACGUCGUAGCGGAUAACAAAUUAGCUGGAGAAAUAUACUUAAACGCACAUGGACUACGAUUGAAGGUCAUCGGUCGUGACUGCCUGAAGAAAAACGUGAGUAGGAAACCAAUUGGAUGCAGUUCAACAUGUUUCGAGAUAGGAAAGGUCAACUACCGGAGCUUUGGCAGUUUAUAGCCGCUAAAAUAAUGAUAUUGGACUAUCGCCAGAUUAUCUAGAAACGCUUUUUCACGCAAUUUGGCUAACCUUAAGCUUAACAUCAUUGUUACGGCUCGUGUUUACAGGGUCGUAAGCUAUAGAAUGAUAAUACUCAUUUUGCCUAUUCUGCAGUAGAGAAACACGCAUCGGUUGAAAAAGUCGUAUUAUUGCAAUCAGUGAAACGUUUCACGUUCGUAAAGUGCAGGACUCACAAGUAUUUUUUUUUUCUCAUUUUAUGAAUAUCUGAAUAUUAUGUUUACGCGUGUUAAGAUAUAACUUAGGCCACCAUUAGCAGUAAAAAAACAUAUUUAAGUUGCUUUUUCAGGCAAAUGUAUUUUGAUAAAGAAACACACAGGCAUACAUCUAAAAAAAAAAAAAAAAACAGAUAUGUCAAACAAUAACAAUGUUGGAAAAAUAACAGUGCCAGCUUCAGCCAAGUUUAUUUUCCGACACUGCUUCCGCUUCCUUGACCAGUGGCUCCAGCUUGACCACUGAAGAGGUUGAGGUUGGCGGUUCCAGUGCCGGAACCAGUACCGACUCCGCCAUUCUGUGCGCUUGAGAUGCCGACCUAAUCAAAAGUUUUACUUCAAUGUAAAAAUGUCGCCACGUAAAUAAGGUAUAGUCUUUAUGAUUUCUUACGCCUGAUGCAGAUACUCCUCCAGGUCCAGCAUUACCCGUUCCAGCUCCAGCGCCACUUCCAGUACCACCUAUUAAACAAUUUGACAUUUGGUUGUUAAAUUUGGAAGUAGAGAAGAAGACGGUGAUAAACUUACCGAAUGCGGGGAAUCCGAAACCUGGUUGGCCGAAAGGACGGUUUCCAAAUUGAGGUCUAGCAGCGGCAACAGCCAAGAGAAGAGCGAGGGCAAGAGUGACCUGAGAAUGAUGAGGAAUUAUUAGCACAUAAUACAACCAAAAUUGUUUCUGGUUUUGUGUUCAACGUUUCAUGAAUUUUCAGGUUUACCUUGUACAUUCUGAAGUGUUAGCUGCUUUAGUGAAUGAAUAGCUAAGAUUGAAAUUCAGCUAUAGUCUGACUUGCCGACUGGGACCGACUUCUUUUUAUACGGUGAGAAAACCAAUGGAUAGCUUAGCUUGCGUGACUAGCGUUCGGAACGCUGGAAGGCAACGUCACCUUGGCUUCAGGGCUCGCGUUUUUUCCCUCAUCACGUGACGACGAGUCCUUGUUCUUUCCAAUUUGUCAAUAACACAUACUAAGACAGGUUCAUCAACUGGAAUUAUGCUUGAUGCCAUAAAGCGAUUGUUGCCUUUUACAUUUUAAAUUUAGAGAAGAACGAUGGCAAUCGUCAGUGCAUUGCCAGAUGAGAUAAUGGAUGAGAAUUAACAGAAUUAACUCCUUUAUUAUUACGGUAUUAUUCGCAGAUUUUACCGAGCGAUACCGAAGGCAGACGAUGUCCAUGGAUGAAAUUAGAAAACAGGCAAAAUGUCUUCUGUCUAGUACUGUCGAUUACCUACAAUGGCUGCCAAACUGCCAUUUUGAUUUUGGAAAAUCACUGCGUCUCUUCGAAAUUAGAGCCACUCAUCCAUAAUGAAUUUAGCCUUUUUGCCAGUGGCUCUUCUCACUUAUAGUCGAUUUUUCAUCAUAAUUGACAUUUCCAACAAGUUUCGUUUACCAGCCACGUUGUCCUGUUAACGUAGGUGGUCAAGAUCAGUUUAGCUUGAUAUUGAAAGUGAAUGGCUGCACGUUUUUGCAUAUGUUUUUGCCAACCAUUUCUUCGUACCAUUGUUAAAGCAAUCGAACGACAGGUCAGUCAGCCUGGAGCUUCAAUGGUCUUUAUCAAUUCAGUUUUAUUUGGUGGUAAGAAAGAUCAUUUUGAUUUGAAAUAAAAGUUUAUUGACAAAUUGAAAAACUUUAACAGGUAAAAAAGAAAAAAAAAAUGGGUGGGGGGCAUCAGAUACAAUUACUAACACAUUUUUUGUGCAUGUUCGGACAAACUGUAGCAACAGUUAGCUUAUUUUCCGACACUACUUCCGCUUCCUUGGCCAGUUGCAGAAGCUUGGCCUGUAAAGGCGUUGAGUGAAGCUGUUCCAGUACCGGUACCUGUAGCGAGCCCUCCGUUUGAAGCACUCGAGAUGCCAACCUAGUGAAAUCGUUGUCAUUAAUCUCAGUUUUUGCCACAUACUCGGAUUAAUAAAAUCUUACGCCUGAUGCGGAUACUCCUCCUGGCCCAGCGUUACCGGUUCCAGCUCCAGCGCCACUUCCAGUACCACCUAUUAAACAAUUUGACAACAUCAUGAAGGGUUUUGGUUGUUAAAUUUGGAAGUAGAGAAGACGACGGUGAUAAUCUUACAUAUGAUUCCGAAACAUAGUUGUUGUUGGCCGAAAGGACGGUUUCCAAAUUGAGGUCUAGCAGCGGCAACAGCCAAGAGAAGAGCGAGGGCAAGAGUGACCUGAGAAUGAUGGGAAAUUAUUAGCACAUAAUACAACCAAAAUUGUUUCUGGUUUUGUGUUCAACGUUUCAUGAAUUUUCAGGUUUACCUUGUACAUUCUGAAGUGUUAGCUGCUUUAGUGAAUGAAUAGCUAAGAUUGAAAUUCAGCUAUAGUCUGACUUGCCGACUGGGACCGACUUCUUUUUAUACAGUGAGAAAACCAAUGGAUAGCUUAGCUUGCGUGACUAGCGUUCGGAACGCUGGAAGGCAACGUCACCUUGGCUUCAGUGCUCGCGUUUUUCCCCUCAUCACGUGACGACGAGUCCUUGUUCUUUCCAAUUUGUCAAUAACACAUACUAAGACAGGUUCAUCAACUGGAAUUAUGCUUGAUGCCAUAAAGCGAUUGUUGCCUUUUACAUUUUAAAUUUAGAGAAGAACGAUGGCAAUCGUCAGUGCAUUGCCAGAUGAGAUAAUGGACGAGAAUAAACAGAAUUAACUCAUUUGUUAUUACGCUGAAGUCAUGCAUUUACCUGAAAAGCUUUCAAGAGCGUCAUUUCUAGCUUUGCUUCAGGUAUUAUUCGCAGAUUUUACCGAGCGAUACCGAAGGCAGACGAUGUCCAUGGAUGAAAUUAGAAAACAGGCAAAAUGUCUUCUGUCUAGUACUGUCGAUUACCUACAAUGGCUGCCAAACUGCCAUUUUGAUUUUGGAAAAUCACUGCGUCUCUUCGAAAUUAGAGCCACUCAUCCAUAAUGAAUUUAGCCUUUUUGCCAGUGGCUCUUCUCACUUACAGUCGAUUUUUCAUCAUAAUUGACAUUUCCAACAAGUUUCGUUUACCAGCCACGUUGUCCUGUUAACGUAGGUGGUCAAGAUCAGUUUAGCUUGAUAUUGAAAGUGAAUGGCUGCACGUUUUUGCAUAUGUUUUUGCCAACCAUUUCUUCGUACCAUUGUUAAAGCAAUCGAACGACAGGUCAGUCAGCCUGCUGGAGCUUCAAUGGUCUUUAUCAAUUCAGAUUUAUUUGGUGGUAAGAAAGAUCAUUUUGAUUUGAAAUAAAAGUUUAUUGAAAAAUUGAAAAACUUUAACAGGUAAAAAAGAAAAAAAAAAUGGUGGGGGGGCAUCAGAUACAAUUACUAACACAUUUUUUGUGCAUGUUUGGACAAACUGUAGCAACAGUUAGCUUAUUUUCCGACACUACUUCCGCUUCCUUGGCCAGUUGCAGAAGCUUGGCCUGUAAAGGCGUUGAGUGAAGCUGUUCCAGUACCGGUACCUGUAGCGAGCCCUCCGUUUGAAGCACUCGAGAUGCCAACCUAGUGAAAUCGUUGUCAUUAAUCUCAGUUUUUGCCACAUACUCGGAUUAAUAAAAUCUUACGCCUGA